rnacentral:lncRNA from 1 species
UUCUGCUCUGGCUUUCAUUUUUCUUUUCCCUGCUCGAUCGUUUCCCUUGGGACAGAACCGCCUCUGUCCUUCUUCCAUUUGUUUCUUCAUCUUCGGUCGUUGAUGUUCACCAGCAAAACCAGCGAGGCCAGUCCACGUUUGACUCUCCUCACGUCUCUUCCCCACCGAAGCCACAAUUUCAGCCCAGCAUCUACCAAACUCCAUCCACGUGGCCUCUCGUCCAGCAGUGAAAUAGAGUCAACGAGCUGAUGAAGCCGCGCGCGUCCGACGCCAGUCCACUCCUCGGUCUUCCCCAUCUCACGCCAGCGAAGCUACUUCCUGUUCGUUGAUUCCAUCUCCGUGCUCAGCUUCUGCGGGACGUCUGCACGCCGGUCAACAAUCGAGCCAGUAGAAGCUCCUUUGUUGACUCCGCAUCUCCAUCCCACGUCUGCCAGCGAAGCCAGCUCCAACGCCUCCACGUUUCCAGCAACUUCCAGCGUGUGUCUUCGGCCCAGCAUCCAGCCUGCUCGUUCAGUUAGUCAAACCGCACGGAGCCAGUGACUUCCAGCCCAACAUCUUCGAGAAUUCCAGCUCAGCCCAUUUGCACGUGGGCCCACCAUCAGCAACAGCUCGUGGGUUAUUCUUUAGCCCACGAUCAACCCCAGCAGCAGCCCACAUGAGUUUCAUCUAGGCCUAGCAGUCCAUUUGAAGCCCAAGUCCACAAGUGCAACCCAUCUUCAGUCUGGCCCAAGUUUCAAGCCCAGUCCAGCUUCAACCUCCAGCCAACUUGAAGCCCAGUUCAGUUUAGUUUCAAGCCCAGCAUCAUUUGUAUUUCAGCGAGCCCGAGCAAGUUCAACCCAUCUUGGGCUCGUGAAGCAAGUCGGCCCAAGUUCGACCCAAGCCCAGCAUUUUGCUGUGGGCUUGCAAGGCCUUUGGGCCGGGCCCGAGUGAUCGUCGACGUCGCCGAAAAUUCGGAUUUCGGCCGCUGUCGCGCCGUCGCGUCGCUAUCACGAUGUUCCGGUCUUCGCUUUGCCAAGUGAGUGAUCUCAUUAAUCUUUGCUUAGUAGACUAAUUAUGUUUAAGAGUUUAUUAGAUUUAAUUAAGUGCAAUUAGGUGGUUAGAUUAGAAUGGAUUAGUGAUUAUUAGUUAAUUGCAUUGCAUAUUAGUUAGGUGGUUAGUGUACUUAGCUAGAGAACUGCCUAUACUAUUUAUUGAAUGCAUCUCAGGAUUUUUCCCGACCCUUAUCGGGCUUCAAUUAGGCAUUACAGGCCCAAAUUGGAUUUUUAGUAUUUAUUUAUUAAUUUUCGAAAUUAAUUAUUUAAUUAUUUAUUUUUCAGAAAUUAGGCAAGGAUAGUCGACGACCGAAAUUUCAUGCUGAUUGUCGUGGUGCAGUCCGUUUAUUUAUUUGAGCUUUAUGUUGUGCUGAAUUGAAUUAAUUGUGCAAUUUGAGGAAUUAUUUCUAAAUUGACUGAAAUUGAGUGAAAUUGAAUGAUUGAUCGGUAGAUAGCCAAGUAUGGUUAUUUAGCAUUGACAAUGCUUUGAUGAGUUGUAAAUCGGAAGGAAUCGAGAGAUUGAACUGAGAAUAAUCUUGGUUGAGAUCGAUAAGGUACGAGGUAUAGACAUACGUGGAAUCACUGGUGAAAACGGCGCCUUAAAGAAUGCAUGAGUGCUGUCUAUUACCUGCAUCAGUAGAGACAUACGUGGUUCGGUGAUAAGGAAAUCACCAGUGAAAAUGGCGUCUUAAAGAACGCACGACUGUUGUCUACUGCAUGCCUCAUUAUGGACAUACGUGGUUCAGUGAUUAAGAAUAUCACUGGUGAAAACAACGCCUUAAAGAACGCACGAGUGUUGUCGAGUACAUACGUCACCUUGGCAAAAACGACGCCCGAGAGCAUUACUGUAGCUUUGUGACUGAGAGUACAAUGGGAGGUUUUAUAUUGAGAAGUGAUUUGACCUGGAAAUGGUCCGACUAACAUGUAAUCGACUAGGGCGAUUGAUCAAUGAUUUGAUCCGUUGUCAUGAAUUGACUGAUUGAGUGGAAAUGACCUUGAAUGGUCCGAUUGACAUGUAAUCGACUAGGUCGAUUGAUCGAGAUAUCGAUCUGUGAUGUGAUUGCUAGGUGCCUAUUGAAUUGUGUUAAUAUGCAGGUGGAAACUGAGGCCAAGGUAAGUCCUCUAACCCGUGCGUGCAUAGGCAGCCUGGAUAGUGUAUUGGUUUCUUAAUCGAGUCUUAGUGGGGUAGAACUUGCUAAGAUGUAGUCUCAUUCCGGUUGUGGGACAACAUUUCAGGCCCGUAGAUGAGCCUAUGAAGAAGGAACCAUAAGAGGACGAUGAGCAGGUAAAAGAUGAAGAGCUUGAAGGAUAUGAGCUUAGUAAAGAAGAGUUAGAAGAAGAUCAGGAUGAUCCUGAGUUCGACCUGGAUGAGGAUUGAGAUCCCAUCCUCUUUUGUUAACCUUGUGUUAUGUAUAUAGAGUGUGACUAGAAUGUUAUGAAUAGUUUUGUGAAUAGACUUUGAG